GAUCCUAUUGUGUUGGCCU
rnacentral:siRNA from 1 species